rnacentral:rRNA from 1 species
UCAGGAUGAACGCUAGCGGCAGGCUUAACACAUGCAAGUCGAGGAGCAACGCGAGUAGCAAGUACUGGCGGCGACCGGCGCAAGGGUGCGUAACGCGUGAGCAACAUGCCCGUAUCAGGGGGAUAAUCCAGGGAAACUUGGUCUAAUACCCCAUAGUAAUUUUGUAAGGCAUCUUAUAAGAUUUUAAAGCUUUGGUGGAUACGGAUUGGCUCGCGUGACAUUAGCUGGAUGGUAAGGUAACGGCUUACCAUGGCUAUGAUGUCUAGGGGUUCUGAGAGGAAGGUCCCCCACACUGGAACUGAGACACGGUCCAGACUCCUACGGGAGGCAGCAGUGAGGAAUAUUGGACAAUGGAUGGAAAUCUGAUCCAGCCAUGCCGCGUGAAAAGGAAGAAGGUCCUAUGGAUUGUAAACUUCUUUGUAUGGGAGCAAUAAGGCCUACGAGUAGGUUGAUGAGAGUACCAUACGAAUAAGCACCGGCUAACUCCGUGCCAGCCGCAGC